rnacentral:rRNA from 1 species
AGCGAACGCUGGCGGCGUGCCUAACACAUGCCAGUCGAACGUGAAAAGGGAAACCUGAGUAAAGUGGCGUACGGGUGAGUAACGCGUAGGUAAUCUACCCCAGAAUCUGGAAUAACCUGCCGAAAGGCGGGCUAAUACUGGAUAGAGCGAGGGAACUCGUAAGAGAGUUUUUCGGGAAAGGGAGCCCGCAAGGGCCUUCGUUCUGGGAUGAGCCUGCGUCUCAUUAGCUAGUUGGUAAGGUAACGGCUUACCAAGGCGAUGAUGAGUAGCUGGUCUGAGAGGAUGAUCAGCCACACUGGAACUGAAACACGGUCCAGACUCCUACGGGAGGCAGCAGUGGGGAAUCUUGCGCAAUGGACGAAAGUCUGACGCAGCCACGCCGCGUGAGUGAAGAAGGCCUUCGGGUUGUAAAGCUCUGUCGGAUGGGACGAACAUCUUCAUAGUGAAUAGCUAUGAGGACUGACGGUACCAUCAAAGGAAGCACCGGCUAACUCCGUG